rnacentral:rRNA from 1 species
UACGGGGGGGGCGAGCGUUGUUCGGAAUCACUGGGCGUAAAGGGCGCGUAGGCGGCCCGCACAAGUCUGCGGUGAAAACCUCCGGCUUAACCGGGGGCCGGCCGUGGAAACUGUCGGGCUGGAGGCUGGGAGAGGGCAGCGGAAUUCCCGGUGUAGCGGUGAAAUGCGUAGAGAUCGGGAGGAACACCAGUGGCGAAGGCGACUACCUGGCCUGUUCUUGACGCUGAGGCGCGAAAGCUAGGGGAGCAAACGGG